GAUGAACGCUGGCGGCGUGCCUAAUACAUGCAAGUCGAGCGAAGCGGGGACGGGUGAGUAAAACGUGGAUAACCUCCUAUAAGACUGGGAUAACUUCGGGAAACCGGAGCUAAACCGGAUAAUUAUAGCUGGAUCCGCGCUGCAUUAGCUAGUUGGUAAGGUAACGGCUUAACAAGGCAACGAUGCAUAGCAGACCUUAGAGGUUGAUCGGCCACACUGGAACUGAGACACGGUCCAGACUCCUACGGGAGGCAGCAGUAGGGAAUAUUCCGCAAUGGGCGAAAGCCUGACGGAGCAACGCCGCGUGAGUGAUGAAGGUCUUCGGAUCGUAAAACUCUGUUAUUAGGGAAGCGGUACCUAAUCAGAAAGCCCCGGCUAACUACGUGCCAGCCGCCGCGGUAAUUC
rnacentral:rRNA from 1 species